UACGAAGGGGGCUAGCGUUGCUUGGAAUCACUGGGCGUAAAGCGCACGUAGGCGGACUUUUAAGUCGGAGGUGAAAUCCUGGAGCUCAACUCCAGAACUGCCUUCGAUACUGAGAGUCUUCGAGUUCGGGAGAGGUGAGUGGAACUGCGAGUGUAGAGGUGAAAUUCGUAGAUAUUCGCAAGAACACCAGUGGCGAAGGCGGCUCACUGGCCCGAUACUGACGCUGAGGUGCGAAAGCGUGGGGAGCAAACAGG
rnacentral:rRNA from 1 species